rnacentral:rRNA from 1 species
GUGUCAGCCGCCGCGGUAAUACAGAGGGUGCGAGCGUUAAUCGGAAUUACUGGGCGUAAAGCGCACGUAGGCGGCUUGGCAUGUCGGGUGUGAAAUCCCCGGGCUCAACCUGGGAACUGCAUCCGAAACUGCCUUGCUAGAGUAUGGGAGAGGGAAGCGGAAUUUCCGGUGUAGCAGUGAAAUGCGUAGAUAUCGGAAGGAACAUCAGUGGCGAAGGCGGCUUCCUGGACCAAUACUGACGCUCAGGUGCGAAAGCGUGGGGAGCAAACAGGAUUAGAUACCCUGGUAGUCCACGCCCUAAACGAUGAGAACUAGAUGUCGGGAGGGAUUGCCUUCCGGUGUCGCAGCUAACGCGUUAAGUUCUCCGCCUGGGAAGUACGGCCGCAAGGUUGAA